UGGUCUGGGAGGCAAGAAAAGGCCCCAAGGACACCUCCUAUCACCCCAGAAGCCUGAGGAGACUCUGUCCUGUGAGUUUCCCACCAUGGCCUGGACGGUGCUCCUGCUGGGACUCCUCACUUACAGCUCAGGUGUGGAUUCUCAGACUGUCACCCAGGAGACCUCACUGUCUGUUUCUCUAGGAGGCACAGUCACACUCACCUGUGACUCUAACUCUGGGUCGGUCUCUAGUAGUAACUACCCCAGCUGGUACCAGGAGACAUCAGGCAAGGCUCCUCGACUGCUUAUCUAUAGGACAAACAACCGGUACUCUGGGGUCCCUGAGCGCUUCUCUGGAUCCAUCUCCGGGAAUAAAGCCGCCCUCACCAUCACAGGGGCCCAGCCUGAGGACGAGGCCGUUUAUUACUGUGCUCUGUAUUACAGCAGCCCCUAUAGUUUGCACAGUGCUCCAGAGUCACAGGAAGUGAGACUAAAACCUCCCUGGGCUCCUCCUGCCAGGGAACCUCACAGCUGCUCUGCCUGAAACCAAGUCUAAUGC